GCCUGGGUGGCUCAGUGGUUGAGCAUCUGCCUUCAGCUCAGGUCAUGAUCCCAGGGUCCUGGGAUCAAGUCCCACAUCAGGCU
rnacentral:tRNA from 1 species